rnacentral:lncRNA from 1 species
GGGCUUGCCUUUCACGAACGAAGCUGGCUCAUGAUUAGGGCACUCGACCUCCUCUUCGGGCUCCUCUUGUCCGGCUGGCUGAACCUCCACUUCCUGAUUGAUCUCCUGGCCCUUGUGGUUCACCUGAUUGAGCUCGAACGAGGCUGCCGCUUCCGGUGCACCUAUUGCAUGCACGAUGAGUAAGAAUGUGUGCAUACUAAAUGAGGAUGAAUACUUGUACAUGAUUAGAACUUCACUGGACACUCAUUUACGGAAUGACUCCCAUUACAAGCUCACAAAAGAUGACUAACUAACUUAGCAAGAUUCACCGAGUUAAACCAUAAACAGCAACAACCAACUAACAAAGCAGCUCAAGGAACAAAUCAUAACUAAAGAUAUACAGAUCCAACAAACAAGAAUGAGGACAUUCUGGAAAGCUUAUGAAGUGGUUUACAUUUCAUCUUUAGAUAUCAUAGCAAGAUUCACAAGUUAAACAAGUUAACUAAACAAAGUUCCAGGUUCUGUCCCAGAAAAACAGAGAGCUCCUAUUUCUGGAACUCAACUUAGAAGAGCCAUAACUUUUAAACUACUGGACCAAAUGAUCCCAAAUUUGAACAGAAGCUAGCUCACAAAGUUUACAACAUCUUUUAUUUAGACAAGUCUUUCAGAAAACCAAGUUAUCAUCAGGCAA